rnacentral:ncRNA from 1 species
UGUGGUGGAUUCGCAAUAACAGGUCUGUGAUGCCCUUCGAUGUCCGGGGCUGCACGCGCGCUACAAUGAAAGCGUCAACGUGAGUUACGUCCUUACCUGAAAAGGUUUGGCAAUCGAAUGAAACGUUUUCUUGAAUGGAAUAGGGAAUUGCAAUUGUUUCCCUUGAACGAGGAAUUCCCAGUAAGCGUGAGUCAUUAGCUCGCGUUGAUUACGUCCCUGCCCUUUGUACACACCGCCCGUCGCUACUACCGAUUGGAUGAUUUAGUGAGGUGUUUUGACUGGCGCCAGUAGUCGGAUAUGUAUUCGGCUUCGCGCCGGGAAAUUUCCCAAACCAAAUCAUCUAGAGGAAGUAAAAGUCGUAACAAGGUUCCCGUAGGUGAACCUGCGGAAGGAUCAUUA